UACGGGGGGGGCAAGCGUUGUUCGGAAUUACUGGGCGUAAAGGGCGCGUAGGCGGCCUGCUAAGUCGGGUGUGAAAUCCCUCGGCUCGACCGAGGAACUGCAUCCGAUACUGGCGGGCUUGAAUCCGGGAGAGGGAUGUGGAAUUCCAGGUGUAGCGGUGAAAUGCGUAGAUAUCUGGAGGAACGCCGGUGGCGAAGGCGGCAUCCUGGACCGGUAUUGACGCUGAGGCGCGAAAGCUAGGGGAGCAAACGGG
rnacentral:rRNA from 1 species